GAAUUUCAACAGAGAUGGCAAGG
rnacentral:piRNA from 1 species